AUUGAACGCUGGCGGCAGGCCUAACACAUGCAUCGACGUACAAGUGGCGGGCGGGAGAGUAACCCGUGGGAACGUGCCCUUCGGUUCGGAAUAACCCAGGGAAACUUGAGCAAACACCGGAUACCGAAGGACCGGCCCGCGUCUGAUUAGAGUGUUGGUGGGGUAACGGCCUACCAAGGCGACGAUCAGUAGCUGGUCUGGGAGGAUGAUCAGCCACACUGGGACUGGGACACGGCCCAGACUCCUACGGGAGGCAGCAGUGGGGAAUAUUGGACAAUGGGCGCAAGCCUGAUCCAGCCAUGCCGCGUGAGUGAUGUAGGCCUUAGGGUUGUAAAGCUCUUUUGUCCGGGACGCGGUACCGGAAGAAUAAGCCCCGGCUAACUUCGUGCCAGCAGCCGCGGUAAUUC
rnacentral:rRNA from 1 species